UACGUAGGGGGCAAGCGUUGUCCGGAAUCAUUGGGCGUAAAGCGCGUGUAGGCGGCUCGAUAAGUCUGCUGUGAAAGUCCAGGGCUCAACCCUGGAAUGCCGGUGGAAACUGUCGAGCUAGAGUCCGGAAGAGGCGAGUGGAAUUCCUGGUGUAGCGGUGAAAUGCGCAGAUAUCAGGAGGAACACCAAUGGCGAAGGCAGCUCGCUGGGACGGUACUGACGCUGAGACGCGAAAGCGUGGGGAGCAUACAGG
rnacentral:rRNA from 1 species